rnacentral:rRNA from 1 species
GAUGAACGCUGGCGGCGUGCCUAAUACAUGCAAGUCGAGCGAGCAGACGAGGAGCUUGCUCCUCUGACGUUAGCGGCGGACGGGUGAGUAACACGUGGAUAACCUACCUAUAAGACUGGGAUAACUUCGGGAAACCGGAGCUAAUACCGGAUAAUAUAUUGAACCGCAUGGUUCAAUAGUGAAAGACGGUUUUGCUGUCACUUAUAGAUGGAUCCGCGCCGCAUUAGCUAGUUGGUAAGGUAACGGCUUACCAAGGCAACGAUGCGUAGCCGACCUGAGAGGGUGACAGGCCCCCCUGGAACUGAGCCACGCUCCAGACUCCUACGGGAGGCAGCAGUAGGGAAUCUUCAGCAAUGGGCGCAAGCCUGACGGAGCAACGCCGCGUGAGUGAUGAAGGUCUUCGGAUCGUAACACUCUGUUAUUAGGGAAGAACAAAUGUGUACGUACCUAUGCACGUCUUGACGGUACCUAAUCAGAAAGCCACGGCUAACUACGUG